GACGAACGCUGGCGGCGUGCUUAACACAUGCAAGUCGAACGGAAAGGCCCUGCUUGCAGGGUACUCGAGUGGCGAACGGGUGAGUAACACGUGGGUGAUCUGCCCUGCACUUCGGGAUAAGCCUGGGAAACUGGGUCUAAUACCGGAUAGGAGCCAUUUUUAGUGUGAUGGUUGGAAAGUUUUUUCGGUGUAGGAUGAGCUCGCGGCCUAUCAGCUUGUUGGUGGGGUAAUGGCCUACCAAGGCGGCGACGGGUAGCCGGCCUGAGAGGGUGGACGGCCACAUUGGGACUGAGAGACGGCCCAGACUCCGACGGGAGGCAGAAGUGGGGAAGCUUGCACAAUGGGCGCAAGCCUGAUGCAGCGAGGCCGCGUGGGGGAUGACGGCCUUCGGGUUGUAAACUCAUUUCGCUAGGGACGAAGCUUUUUGUGACGGUACCUAGACAAGAAGCACCGGCUAACUACGUG
rnacentral:rRNA from 1 species